rnacentral:rRNA from 1 species
AUAAGCCUGGGAAACUGGGUCUAAUACCGGAUAGGACGAUGGUUUGGUAUGCAUUGUGGAAAGUUUUUCGGUGUGGGAUGAGCUCGCGGCCUAUCAGCUUGUUGGUGGGGUAAUGGCCUACCAAGGCGUCGACGGGUAGCCGGCCUGAGAGGGUGUACGGCCACAUUGGGACUGAGAUACGACCCAG